rnacentral:tRNA from 1 species
GAGGGUGUAGCUCAGGGGUAGAGCACGUGCUUAGCAUGCACAAGGUCCUGGGUUCAAUGCCCAGUACCUCCU